UGUAAAUGUGAAGGAAAAUAAAAGAAUAUACAACUGGACUUCACCAUGCAUUCUGUAAACAUUGUAAAUGUGUUUUUACACCUAACAGAAACCACAGAGAACAGGACAGAAAAAGAAAAAUGCAAGAUGUGGUAUUUCCUGUAAGCCUUCACUUCUGGCUUAUGAAAGUAUCUUUCAUUUCCUUCUCUCUCUCUCUCUCUCUCUCUCUCUCUCUCUCUUUCUCUCUCUCUCUCAUCCUUGUCAGCGGUAGGCCAAGCACACAGCUGAGUUGAACUGUGGCUCACACCGUCCCUCCAAUUCUGGAGACUGAUGCUGGUGCCAGUCGUCGUCGUGGUACCACGACAUCACCUUCUGGAAUACUGUGAGCUCCAGGGCCUCGUUCUGAGUCGUGAUGGGAAACAACCUGUGUGGGAUACUAAAGUAAGCACCACACAUCUGUCAUUUUGAAUUAGAAGAAAGAAAGAGAAUGGAAAAGUAAAGGACAGAGGGAAGGAGGGAAGAAAGAAACUCAAGAAAACGGUAGGCCAAACACACAGCUGAGUUGAACUGUGGCUCACACCAUCCCUCCAAUUCUGGAGACUGAUGCUGGUGCCAGUCGUCGUCGUGGUACCACAACAUCACCUUCUGGAAUACUGUGAGCUCCAGGGCCUCGUUCUGAGUCGUGAUGGGAAACAACCUGUGUGGGAUACUAAAAUGAAAGAUAUGCAGUGGAUUUUUUUCUGUG